rnacentral:rRNA from 1 species
GUGAGGAAUAUUGGUCAAUGGAGGCAACUCUGAACCAGCCAAGUCGCGUGAAGGAUGAAGGUCUUAUGGAUUGUAAACUUCUUUUGCAAGGGAAUAAAGUGGGGGACGUGUCCUCCUUUGCAUGUACCUUGCGAAUAAGGAUCGGCUAACUCCGUGCCAGCAGCCGCGGUAAUACGGAGGAUCCGAGCGUUAUCCGGAUUUAUUGGGUUUAAAGGGUGCGCAGGCGGGAUGUUAAGUCGGCGGUGAAAUUUUGCAGCUCAACUGUAAAAGUGCCUUCGAUACUGGCUUUCUUGAGUGUGGAUGAAGUAGGCGGAAUUUGUGGUGUAGCGGUGAAAUGCUUAGAUAUCACGAGGAACUCCGAUUGCGCAGGCAGCUUACUAAACCACUACUGACGCUCAUGCACGAAGGCGUGGGGAUCAAACAGGAUUAGAUACCCCGGUAGUCC